rnacentral:sRNA from 1 species
CUGGCCAGGCCAUAGUCCGUGUCCAUUCUUUUCCAUUGGGAUUAACUCAACAGCUAUCGGACGCAGUGGACAGCCCAGUCAUGAACCGGCAACAUAUGGCCACUUAUGUUGUAAUGGACCGUUGAUUCAGCGGGGCAAGGGAUGCCAUACAACAAAUAAACUUUGCUUUCGAUAUCCUCAGCCACCACGCUGGCGGUUCGAAGGGGCAUAUUGGGGAGAAGAAACCUAUGGCAAAAGGCGUCAAUGGUCAUCUACAAGUAACAAAAAAUUCCAUGGAUUGAUAUCAUAGGACAAACUUAACUAGGGGAGUCUCGACUCUCGAUGCGAGAGCUUGUUCGUAUUCGUGUUCGCGUUUGCUGUUGGGAGCCAUGGGAUUGCGAGAGAUCCGCCAUCAGAGCAACCACGAUGUCGUUUAACCCUGAUUUUGAAAAGGGGUUCGUGUGAAGUAAGCCUGUUUGAUACAAAAUCUUUGGUUGCUUGAAUUGAGAGGACCAUCGUCACCGUUGGUUGAUAUAUGAUGUGUAAUGACAUGGG